AGGGUUCAUGGCCAUUUUGGUUCUGGGUCAUGGUCCUUAGGCAGGAAGGAGACUUUCUGGUUGUCUCUAAUUGACUUGAAUUGGUGGACUAAGCCUGGCCUCCCUCCUUCCUCUUCUGGGAUGCUAUUUUCCUUACAUAGAUCAGGCAGCUAGGUCAUUGGCUUAGGGAAGCAGUGAAGAAAAUGGUUCUUUCAAGCUAGAAGUGAGUCAGAUCCAAAGUAAUUGUGAGUUGCCUGGCAACAAGAACCCCUCCACCAGCUAUUCUACACAAGCCCCUCAGGAGGCCUGAGGCCCUUUUGAGUUAUCCUCUUCCCUUUGAUUUUCCCUUGUUCCUCUGCUCACUAUAGCCAGAUGUCUAUGUUUAUAUGAGGUCUGAGACAGGAUGAUUUGUCCUAGUAAUGGCCCUGGAGGGAGGUUGGGAUGGUUCUAAAAGUUGUAUGAAGGACCAGGGGCUAAUGAUAUAAAAAUAUGAAGUAUGAAGAACAAUAUGUGACCAGGUCUAUACUGGCAAAAGGAGAGGACGAGAGCACUAUAAGAAUUAUCUGAAUCAUUUGUUCAUUAAGCCAAUAUUUUAAAAUGCUAUUAAUUUAUAAGGCAGAGACAACAAGACAGAGUAGAUAAAGAGCUGGUCUUAAGACCUGACUUCAUGUCUUACUUCUGGUAGAUGCUGGCUGUGUGACCUGAAACAAGUCUCAAUCUCCUUCUCUCCUUCUCUCCCUCCUUCUCUCCUUCUCUCUCUCCUUCCUUCCUUCCUUCCUUCCUUCCUUCCUUCCUUCCUUCCUUCCUUCCUUCCUUCCUUCCUUCCUUCCUUCCUUCCUUCCUUCCUUCCUUCCUUCCUUCCUUCCUUCCUCACAGAAAGGACCUUAAUAUUAUGGAUUACUACAGAGUCUUGUUCACAACUUUUAACCUUUCAGUAUCCCAGAGCAGGAGAUGGCAUGCUUUAGUAGAGGGGAGUUCUCUAUACCAGUCAGUCAAUCAGUCAGCCAAGAAGUAUUUAUUAAGCACUGGGUUAAGUGUUGGAAAAAUAAGAAAUUCUAAUAGGGGUAGGAAACAUAAAAAAGAGCCCAAGGGAGGGGGUAGGGGAGGAAGCUGGAAGUCAUGAUUUUAUUAUCAUAAGAAAUGAAGAGUUAGCAGCCUUCCUAAAAUGGAAGUUCUGAGAGGAGCCACCCAAUUCAGGAGAGGGAGUGGCAAAUGGUGCUUCUAAGAUGUGGAUUUCAGGUCUAAAGUGAUAUUCCAGGAUGAAGAAUUUUGUGGGGCAUGAUGAAGAAGUCUGGAUUGCAACUUGGUGAGAAUGUUUUAUACAUCUUUACCUAUAUCUAUCUAUAUCCUCACUGCCUCUCUCUGUCUUUAUCUAUGGCUGCCUCUGUCUCUCUCUGUCUCUCCUCCCCGCCCCUCCUCCCCUUCCUCUCCAUCUCUCUCUCAUGGUCCACUUAUUAGUUGUAUGACCCUGGGGAUGAACCACUUAAUUUCUGUUUGCCUCAGUUUCCUCCUCAAUCAAAUGGGGAUAAUAGUAGCUAACUCCCAGAGGAUCAAAUGAGAUAAUAAUUGUAAAGUGCUUAGCACAUAAUAAGCACUAUAUAAGUGUAGGCUAUUACUAUUGUGAUUUUUAUUGUUUCUCUCCAUCUGCUUGUCUGUCUCCUUUCUCUCUCUCUCCUCUCACUUCAGGGAGCAUUGUGUUAAUCCUGUAAGCAUUUAGCUAGGGAGACAAAGACAAAACUGGAAACUGCCUUCCCUCAAUGAACUUACCUUCUAUGGAAAGGGAAGGGAGAUAUUUCCAUAGAUAAGAGAAGACUAAUUAUUGAAAUUUGCAUUGAAAUCAAUGCAAAGUAAUUUCAGGGGUUGGGGUGGAGGAACAACUAAUAAAUUAAACCCAACACCACCUAGGCCCUACUUUCAAAGAAGUUUAAGAGUGGAAAGGAUAAACAUGUAACUAUGAUCUAAGGACACAUGAGAUAAAUUUGAAUGGAGGGGAAAACCAAACUUGCUCAAGUGGUCUAGGCAUUCUGAAAAAAAUCUUGCUGCCAUUUUCUAUUUGGAUUUGAAUUAGCACCUCCAGGUGUCCAACAUAGCACCUGACUGUCCAAGUGGCUUCAGAGGAGAGUAGAAGAUGACAGAAACUGUAAUGAGUUGUGAGAAUCUUUCAGAAUGAAGAGCAUCAAACAAGCAAAGUAGGUGGAUGAGAACAGAAGAAAUAAGAUGAGGGAGGCAUUCAGGAAAUUUCUUAUCACCAAUGCUCCUCACAACAUCUUCUGCUGAGUGAAACUACCCCUGCUAUUAUCCGUAGGGCUGGACCACAUUUCUAUUUGCCGUUCUUGCUUUUUUGGACUUCAGACUCAGCUGCAAAAAUUGGCUUCAGGUGAAGGAGUAUUGGAGACAGAAGAGAGUAGACUGUGAUCUUGUGAGCUCCAAAAAGGCAAGGAAGCCUCCUCAGGGGUCCAGGAACUGCAAUCUGUCCCAGAGUUGGUGUCCAAGCCCAGAUGAAGUACCAGCAAAGUCCUGAGGAGUGAACAGCUUGACUCAGCCCUGCAGUUGUUUGACAUUGAGCACAGAGGCAACAGCGUCCUACAGUGAUGGGGAAGGGAUUGACGCUGCCCUUCAGUUACAUUUCAUUCAAAAGUAAAUUUGAAAACAAACAAAUAAAAUAACUUUUAUGGGGAAAGGGAAGGAAAUGAGCGUUUAUUUAGCACCUACUGUGUCAAGCACUGAGCUAAGCAUUUUACAAAUGUUUAUCAUUUGAUCCUCACAACAACCCUGGGAGACAGAUACUGUUAUUGUUCUCAUUUUACAGUAGAGGAAACUGAAAAAGACAGAAGUUAAGGGACUUGC